GCCCGGGUGGCGGAAUGGCAGACGCGCAGGUCUCAAAAACCUGUGGGGCUCACCCCCCAUGUGAGUUCGACUCUCACCCCGGGCA
rnacentral:tRNA from 1 species